rnacentral:tRNA from 1 species
GAGAGAGGCUCGCAGCAAUAAAGACUGCUAAUCUUUACCUCUUCGGUUGGACUCCGAAGCUCACUCG